rnacentral:rRNA from 1 species
GUACACGCUGUGACUAGCAUAUCAAUAAGGGAGGAAAAGAAACUAACAAGGAUUCCCCUAGUAACGGCGAGUGAAGCGGGAAGAGCUCAAAUUUGAAAUCUUAAAGGGUUUCCCUUUACGAAUUGUAGUUUAAAGAAGUGUUUUCUGUUGAGGUUUUGGUAAAAGUUCUUUGGAAUAGGACAUCAUAGAGGGUGAGAAUCCCGUAUUUGACCUUUACUUUCAACUUUGUGAUACACUUUCAAAGAGUCGGAUUGUUUGGGAAUGCAGUCCAAAAUGGGUGGUAAAUUUCAUCUAAAGCUAAAUAUUGGCGAGAGACCGAUAGCGAACAAGUACCGUGAGGGAAAGAUGAAAGGAACUUUGAAAAGAGAGUUAAACAGUACGUGAAACUUGUCAAAAGGGAAGCGUUUGACACCAGUGUUGCUUUUCUGAAAAUCAAUUAAAGAACUGUUUAUGCUAAGCUGUUUAGACUUUAUCAGCUAUCUGUUUAGUUUUGAGCUUUUCUUUGAUGCACUUUUCAGUUAACAAGUCAACAUCAAUUUCUUUUGCUGUGAAAAAAGCUUGAGGAAGGUGGCUUGAGAUUCGUCUUAAGUGUUUAUAGCCUCUUGCCUAUGCAGUCGGAGAGAUUGAGGUCUGCAGCGUAGAUCCUUCGGGGCUAAAUGCAUUUGUGCUAAGUUAUAGCAUUUUAUAGACAACUUGUUGACUAUGAUUUGUCUUGUAGCUUACUCGCUUAUGUUAUUUUACCUACGCUUAGGAUGUUGAUAUGCAUGACUGAUAU